rnacentral:lncRNA from 1 species
AUUCGUUUCAAACUCACAACAAAUCAUUUAAGAUACGAAUACAUGGUUGGUAACAAAAAAACACUAGGGCCGUGUUCACAUUAAAAAAAAACAAGUUGUGGGAAGUCUACUUGACACUUACAAAAAAACUCUAUUGCGUUCCCAUUGAUACCAAUCAAUGUGAGCAUGUAGUUUAAAACAGGUUUUGACUACAUACAGUCGAUCGGUAGUCAAUGUAUGUCUUGUGUGGGAUCUUUGUUUACAUAAAACUAAAUAUGCAGA